UUUGAUGGUUUUAAUAGACUUUUGACAUUUUUUAUCGUGAAUCCGGAUCACCAGACGCUUGAAAAAAAGCCGCUCAUUACCACGUAGUUCAGGCGCUCAUUAAAAACUCAAUUUGUCAAGCGUCUAAAGGCACAGAACAACAGUGACCUUGACACAAAACCUAAACACGGAAGUAUGGAGAAAAUAACGACCGUUUUGAAGAUUUUGGCUCUCCUACUGGUAUUUGGCAGUCCUCCUGUUCAUGAUGAAGACAAAUUUAUCCAAAAUGAACCUCGAGUGAACCACUGUAACAAGGAACUGAGGAUAUUCGUUGGAGAAUUGACAAGUACCAUAUGUGGAGAGCUGAUAGAGAUGUAAAUGGUGGAGGUCUCAUAGCAUACCUAAGGUCAGAUAUUGCUGGCGAAAGGAAACCCCAGUUAGAAUUUGGAUGAAAUCGAAUCCAUCUUUGUAGAGGUACACUAAUACAGCUGAAAUCCCACGGGUAAGAAGUACCAGUUAUGGUCUUAAGUCUUUCCGUUCCGCAGCCCCCAGGCUCUGGAACUCGUUACCCUAGCACUUCAGGGAUAUGUGACGGGACUUAACCAGUUCCGAAGUCUGAUAGGCUCGUGGGACGGAGAGGAUUGCAGAUGUUCUUGCUGUUGUACCUAGUAUGGCUUGUAUUAUAUGUUCUUGUUAUUUGCUUUUGCCAGUUUAACCCUCAGUUGCUAUUUUCAGCAAGUUAUAUUAUUUUGUGCAUGA